GAUGAACGCUGACAGAAUGCUUAACACAUGCAAGUCGACUUGCAUUUGGGUUUUUAACUUAGGUUUGGGUGGCGGACGGGUGAGUAACGCGUAAAGAACUUGCCUCACAGCUAGGGACAACAUUUGGAAACGAAUGCUAAUACCUAAUAUUAUGAUAAUCGGGCAUCCUAUAAUUAUGAAAGCUAUAAGCGCUGUGAGAGAGCUUUGCGUCCCAUUAGCUAGUUGGAGAGGUAACGGCUCGCCAAGGCGAUGAUGGGUAGCCGGCCUGGGAGGGUGAUCGGCCACAAGGGGAUGGAGACACGGCCCUUAGGCCUACGUGAGGCAGCAGUGGGGAAUAUUGGACAAUGGACCAAGAGUCUGAUCCAGCAAUUCUGUGUGCACGAUGAAGUUUUUCGGAAUGUAAAGUGCUUUCAGUUGGGAAGAAAGAAAUGACGGUACCAACAGAAGAAGUGACGGCUAAAUACGUG
rnacentral:rRNA from 1 species